AGUGAACGCUGGCGGUAGGCCUAACACAUGCAAGUCGAACGGCAGCACAGUAAGAGCUUGCUCUUACGGGUGGCGAGUGGCGGACGGGUGGGGAAUACAUCGGACUCUACUUUUUCGUGGGGGAUAACGUAGGGAAACUUACGCUAAUACCGCAUACGACCUACGGGUGAAAGCAGGGGAUCUUCGGACCUUGCGCGAUUGAAUGAGCCGAUGUCGGAUUAGCUAGUUGGCGGGGUAAAGGCCCACCAAGGCGACGAUCCGUAGCUGGUCUGAGAGGAUGAUCAGCCACACUGGAACUGAGACACGGUCCAGACUCCUACGGGAGGCAGCAGUGGGGAAUAUUGGACAAUGGGCGCAAGCCUGAUCCAGCCAUACCGCGUGGGUGAAGAAGGCCUUCGGGUUGUAAAGCCCUUUUGUUGGGAAAGAAAAGCAGCAGGUUAAUACCCCGCUGUUCUGACGGUACCCAAAGAAUAAGCACCGGCUAACUUCGUG
rnacentral:rRNA from 1 species